CCUCUCUCGCACAACACACACAUUAAACCUAAAUCGCCGCCGCCGCCGCCCCCGACCUGCCCGCAGAUUUGCUUGCGUCGCCGCCUCCCCCACCCCAGCAUCCCAUCCCUUGGCCCGUCAUAUGGUCCUGUGUGUUGGCCCGUCAUCCACUGCCGAGGAGCUGCUGCCCCGUCUGCAGCCAAGGAGCCACCGCCCGCCUAGGAGAUGGCGAGGAGGCAACUGCAGUUCUGGAGUCGCCCCGCCUUUCUUCUUCCUCCACCAGCGACCCCUGUCCAGAUCCACCGCAGGAGAAAAGAUGGAAGGAACAAGAGGUGGAAGUGAGCUCCCUACAUAUGAACAAUCUAGGCUUGCAAGUAUUGCAGAAAACAAAAGGAAGUUGAGAGCUCUUGUUGAAAUAAAAAGAAAAUAUUUAGCAUUGGGAGAAAACACGAGGCCCUCUUGGGAAGUAGGCGGCCCGUCCUAGCGAGCCAAGAAGAAAGUUUAUUCAGAGUUGUCAUUGCUACAUGUAGCUGGUAUCAAGAGUUAUGCUCGUAGCAGGCAUGAAUUGGCUGAAGAACUUGGCUAUGACCCGCAGAGAGAUGAAAUAUUUGUCAGAGAACAUAUACAUAAAAUUGGAGUUCCUACCGCACAAGCAGAGACACAAAUUGUUAGUCACACAUACACAUCAUGUGUUUUUCUUUAGUACAGCCAUGCACGUGACUGCAUAUCAAUUGAUGACAAGUAUAGACUGCACCGACUUCAUUGUGGAAAUAAAUUAGGUGCCUCAUUUGCUUUUUUUUGGAGAAACAACCUGAAGAAGCAGCUGAACCACCACCAACACUUGCAAUUGAAAUUCAAUUUCGUCGACAAGAUGAACAAGUUUCUACUCUACUAGAGGGCACGGAACAAAUGCAAUGCCAAAUUGGAGAGAUGCAUCAAGUUCUCUUUUCUCAAGGAAUCGGAAAUGUGGAAACACCAAGUAUUAUUCUUGUCAAGUUUUUUCCAUGAGAUGACACUGCUAUGUUUCGUUUGAUCUUUGGGUCAGGAAGACAUAGGUUCAGAAUGGGGAAAAAGGUCCUCAGUUUGAACUAAAGACUACUCCCUCCGUAAAGAAAUAUAAGAGUGUUUAUAUCACUAAAGUAGUGAUCUAAAGGCUGAUCUUAUAUUUCUUUACAGGGGGAGUAUUAUUUUUCUUUUGGGCAAUCUUUGUAUUUUUCUUGUCAGGUUUCAUGUUUCAUAACUAAACACAUACAGUGCAGUUUGUAGUGUCAUUAUAAAUAGAUGAUGCAUCAGGCUACUAGAGUAUCUAGUUUCUAUCAGAAAUAUAUAAGAAUUAAGGGCAUGAUAAGGUGAUACUAAAUCUGGGUUAUAGCAGAAUGUAGAAUGUUGGGUUUCUAUGUUUAUAUGUUUAUAUCUGGGUUAUAUCAGAAAUAUAUAAGAAUUAAGGGCAUGAUAAGGUGAUACUAAAUCUGGGCUAUGCUGACUUUGGUUUAUAUUCUAAUAAGGUUAUCUUUUGUAAUUCGAAUCUUUUCUUUAUAACUAUAGCGUGCAUGAACCGCAGUGACAUGCAUAAUUUUUAUUUGAGAGUUCAGGCAAUCAAGUAUCAGUUUACUUUUCUUGUACGCAAGUUGGUAUGUUGUACAUCUUCUGUUUCUUAGACCUUUGGACUCAAAGGCAACUCAUGAAUUCAAAUACAUUGUAUUAUUUCAAAUAUUGCUGAAACAUAUGAGUUCUUUUGUAGGGACAAAUGGUGGAGAGUAGCAAGUCCACUAGUUGAUCAAAGAUGUUCUCGUGAUUGCUUUUAUUGAGAACAUGGAUGACACAUUUUGGUCAUAUGGAAGUUGAUUUGGUUUGGCGAUUGAAGAGUUUGUCUUCCAUAAUAUUCUGUAGCAAUAGCAGUCCAGUGAACAAGCACUUGGUCUCUUAUGAACUUUGGCCAUUAUUUUUGUAACA